rnacentral:rRNA from 1 species
GAUCAUGCUCAGGAUGAACGCUAGCGAUAGGCUUAACACAUGCAAGUCGAGGGGCAGCAUGGUCUUAGCUUGCUAAGACUGAUGGCGACCGGCGCACGGGUGCGUAACGCGUAUGCAACUUGCCUCACAGAGGGGGAUAACCCGUCGAAAGACGGACUAAUACCGCGUACACUCUAUGUUGGGCAUCCAAUGUAGAGGAAAAGAAAUUCGCUGUGAGAUAGGCA